UGGGGAAUAUUGGACAAUGGGGGAAACCCUGAUCCAGCAAUGCCGCGUGUGUGAUGAAGGCCCUAGGGUUGUAAAGCACUUUCAAUGGUGAAGAUGAUGACGGUAGCCAUAGAAGAAGCCCCGGCUAACUUCGUGCCAGCAGCCGCGGUAAUACGAAGGGGGCGAGCGUUGUUCGGAAUUACUGGGCGUAAAGGGCGCGCAGGCGGUCAAUCCAGUCAGGUGUGAAAGCCCCGGGCUCAACCUGGGAACUGCACUUGAUACUGAUUGACUAGAAAACGGAAGAGGGCAGUGGAAUUCCCAGUGUAGAGGUGAAAUUCGUAGAUAUUGGGAAGAACACCAGUGGCGAAAGC
rnacentral:rRNA from 1 species